UACGUAGGGGGCAAGCGUUGUCCGGAUUUACUGGGCGUAAAGAGCGUGUAGGCGGCCAGACAAGUCUGCUGUGAAAACUCGAGGCUCAACCUCGAGCUGUCGGUGGAAACUGUCUGGCUAGAGUCCGGAAGAGGCGAGUGGAACUCCUGGUGUAGCGGUGGAAUGCGCAGAUAUCAGGAAGAACACCAACGGCGAAGGCAGCUCGCUGGGACGGUACUGACGCUGAGGCGCGAAAGCGUGGGGAGCGAACAGG
rnacentral:rRNA from 1 species